CCUACGGGAGGCAGCAGUAAGGAAUAUUGGACAAUGCUCGCAAGAGUGAUCCAGCCAUGCCGCGUGCAGGAAGAAUGCCCUAUGGGUAGUAAACUGCUUUUGAACUAGAGAAAACCCCCAGUACGUGUACUGGGCUGAUAGUAUAGUUAGAAUAAGCAUCGGCUAACUUCGUGCCAGCAGCCGCGGUAAGACGAAGGAUGCAAGCGUUAUCCGGAUUCAUUGGGUUUAAAGGGAGCGUAGGUGGACUGAUAAGUCAGUGGUGAAAUCUCCGAGCUUAACUCGGAAAUUGCCAUUGAUACUGUUGGUCUUGAGUACAGUUGCUGUGGGCGGAAUAUGACAUGUAGUGGUGAAAUACAUAGAGAUGUCAUAGAACACCGAUUGCGAAGGCAGCUCACAAAGCUGUAACUGACACUGAGGCUCGAAAGUGCGGGGAUCAAACAGGAUUAGAUACCCUGGUAGUCCGCACCGUAAACGAUGAUUACUCGCUGCGUAGGGCGACCUUAGUGUGUUAGNGAAGACGAGAAGUAAGUACCACCGNGGGAGGUACGGCCGGCGACGGUAGAACGUACGAAUAGAGUUAGACGGCGUUGGAGGACGNGCCGACGGACGACGACGAGGGGAGGAGG
rnacentral:rRNA from 1 species